UACAGAGGUCUCAAGCGUUGUUCGGAUUCAUUGGGCGUAAAGGGUGCGUAGGCGGCGCGGUAAGUCGGGUGUGAAAUUUCGGAGGCUUAACUUCGAAACUGCAUUCGAUACUGCCGUGCUAGAGGACUGGAGAGGAGACUGGAAUUUACGGUGUAGCGGUGAAAUGCGUAGAUAUCGUAAGGAAGACCAGUGGCGAAGGCGGGUCUCUGGACAAGUUCCUGACGCUGAGGCACGAAGGCCAGGGGAGCAAACGGG
rnacentral:rRNA from 1 species